UACGUAGGUGACCAGCGUUGUCCGGAUUUACUGGGCGUAAAGAGCGCGCAGGCGGUCUUGUAAGUCGAGUGUGAAAGCCCCUGGCUCAACCAGGGAGGGUCAUUCGAUACUGCUUGACUCGAAGGCAGGAGAGGGAAGUGGAAUUCCGGGUGUAGUGGUGAAAUGCGUAGAUAUCCGGAGGAACACCAGUGGCGAAGGCGACUUUCUGGCCUGUUCUUGACGCUGAGGCGCGAAAGCUAGGGGAGCAAACGGG
rnacentral:rRNA from 1 species